rnacentral:rRNA from 1 species
AGCAGCCGCGGUAAUUCCAGCUCCAAUAGCGUAUAUUAAAGUUGUUGCAGUUAAAAAGCUCGUAGUUGAAUUUCGGGAUCAGUUGGUCGGUCGUGCCUCGGUACGUACUGGUCAAAUUGAUUCCUACCUUCUGACGAACCACGAUGUCAUUAAUUUGGUGUCGCGGGAAAUCAGGACUGUUACUUUAGAAAAAUUAGAGUGUUUAAAGCAGGCUCGCGCUUGAAUACAUUAGCAUGGAAUAAUGAAAUAGGACGUUUGAUUCUAUUUUGUUGGUUUCUAGGAUCGACGUAAUGAUUAAUAGGGAUAGUUGGGGGCAUUAGUGUUCAAUUGUCAGAGGUGAAGUUCUUGGAUUUAUUGAAGACUAACUACUGCGAAAGCAUUUGCCAAGGAUGUUUUCAUUAAUCAAGAACGAAAGUUAGGGGAUCGAAGACGACCAGAUACCGUCGUAGUCUUAACCAUAAACUAUGCCGACUAGGGAUCGGAUGAUGUUAAUUUUUAAUGACUCAUUCGGCGCCUUACG